CCUACGGGUGGCAGCAGUGAGGAAUAUUGGUCAAUGGACGAGAGUCUGAACCAGCCAAGUAGCGUGAAGGAUGACUGCCCUAUGGGUUGUAAACUUCUUUUAUAUGGGAAUAAAAUGUUCCACGUGUGGGAUUUUGUAUGUACCAUAUGAAUAAGGAUCGGCUAACUCCGUGCCAGCAGCCGCGGUAAUACGGAGGAUCCGAGCGUUAUCCGGAUUUAUUGGGUUUAAAGGGAGCGUAGGUGGAUUGUUAAGUCAGUUGUGAAAGUUUGCGGCUCAACCGUAAAAUUGCAGUUGAAACUGACAGUCUUGAGUACAGUAGAGGUGGGCGGAAUUCGUGGUGUAGCGGUGAAAUGCUUAGAUAUCACGAAGAACUCCGAUUGCGAAGGCAGUUCACUGGACUGCAACUGACACUGAGGCUCGAAAGUGUGGGUAUCAAACAGGAUUAGAUACCCUAGUAGUC
rnacentral:rRNA from 1 species